AGCCAGGACCUGUUUGAGACUCUACUGCAGUCUAUUCAGUCCCUGUUGUUGACCACGGGCAAGUCCAAUGCAGGGAAAGGAGCCCCAGCCUUGAGGGGGUUCCCCGUCUACACCUGUGGAAUAUCUGAGCCAGAUAAGGAGGAGAAAGAAGAGGACUUGGGAAGAUCUGUUCAGUGAGAUCCUCUGCUGCUACAGACUGUGAGCAAAGGGCCUGGAGGGUGAACAUUGCAGACAGCCUGAGGGAGGAAAAUGUGGACAGGUGGAAGGUUCAGGAGUCUCAGUAGAAAAGGAGAAGGAGAUGCACCAGGACAUAAUGGGCCUUUUCUGGCAGCGAACACAAAUGCUGCAGUCUCUUGUGGACCUACAGGGUCACCUCCCUUUGCAGUCCAUGGAGAAUUCCAUUAUAGCACCUCCUUGCACCCUCAUCUCAACAUUGCACAUUGUAUCAGUGGCUGCAUCCCUACACCUGCCACUCCACCUCUCAGGACAUUAAGGACAACCACAGCUUCACAUACACUGACCUGGGAAAGCCAUGGCUGCUGUACAUGGAGAGUGCUGUCCUAUCCUGAGCUAUUUCUGUUCUUCCUGGACUUGACAACGCAUCUCCUUUCUCACCUCGGUCAGCAGAUGUCAGAACCCAAACUGCUUCCAAACUAUGAAGACUGUAUGGAUCACCUAAUAGUAAGGACUGCUAGCCCUGUUAUUAGAGAAAAUAAAUUAACAG